rnacentral:rRNA from 1 species
AACGAACGCUGGCGGCAUGCCUAACACAUGCAAGUCGAACGAGACCGCCGGGUUCAGUGGCGCACGGGUUCGCAACGCGUGGGAACCUGCCUCUAGGCUCGGAAUAACUCCCCGAAAGGGGUGCUAAUACCGGAUUUUGUCUUCGGUCCAAAGAUUUAUCGCCAUUGGGUGGGCCAGCGUUGGAUUAGCUAGUUGGUAGGGUAAAAGCCUACCAAGGCGACGAUCCAUAGCUGGUCUGAGAGGAUGAGCAGCCACACUGGGGCUGAGACACGGCCCAGACUCCUGCGGGAGGCAGCAGAGGGGGAUAUAGGACUGUGGGGGGAGGGCUGAUGCAGCAAUGCCGCGUGAGUGAUGAAGGCCUUGGGGUUGUAAAGCUCUUUUACCCGGGAUGAUAAUGACAGUACCGGAAGAAUAAGCACCGGCUAACUCCGUG